rnacentral:rRNA from 1 species
AGAUUGAACGCUGGCGGCAUGCCUUACACAUGCAAGUCGAACGGCAGCAUGAUCUAGCUUGCUAGAUUGAUGGCGAGUGGCGAACGGGUGAGUAAUACAUCGGAACGUGCCCUGUAGUGGGGGAUAACUAGUCGAAAGAUUAGCUAAUACCGCAUACGACCUGAGGGUGAAAGUGGGGGACCGCAAGGCCUCAUGCUAUAGGAGCGGCCGAUGUCUGAUUAGCUAGUUGGUGAGGUAAAGGCUCACCAAGGCGACGAUCAGUAGCUGGUCUGAGAGGACGAUCAGCCACACUGGGACUGAGACACGGCCCAGACUCCUACGGGAGGCAGCAGUGGGGAAUUUUGGACAAUGGGGGCAACCCUGAUCCAGCAAUGCCGCGUGUGUGAAGAAGGCCUUCGGGUUGUAAAGCACUUUUGUCCGGAAAGAAAUCGCACUUACUAAUAUUAGGUGUGGAUGACGGUACCGGAAGAAUAAG